AUGGCGGCGGCGAACCAGAGCCUGGCCGUAGAGGACGGCACGGGCACCGGCAGCGGCGCCGGCGGGCAGGAGUACACGCAGGACGGGUCGGUGGACCUCCGGGGCAACCCCGUGCUCCGCUCCAAGAGGGGCGGCUGGACCGCCUGCACCUUCAUCGUCGUGUACGAGCUGUUCGAGCGGAUGGCCUACUACGGCAUCGCGGCGAACCUCUUCAUCUACCUCACGGACAAGAUGCACCAGGGCACGGUGGAGGCGUCCAACAACGUCACCAACUGGUCCGGCACCGUCUUCCUCACGCCCCUGCUCGGCGCCUACGUCGCCGACGCAUACCUCGGCCGCUACUGGACCUUCGUCGUCGGCUCCGCCAUAUACCUCAUGGGGAUGCUGCUGUUGACACUGUCCGUGUCGGUGGGAGCGCUGAAGCCGCCGGAGUGCGUCGGCAAAGUCUGCCCGCGGGCGUCGGCGCUGCAGGCGGGCGUCUACUUCGGCGGGCUGUACAUCAUCGCCUUGGGCAACGGCGGCACAAAGCCCAACAUCUCCACCAUCGGCGCCGACCAGUUCGACGACUUCGACGCCCGCGAGAAGUCCCACAAGCUCUCCUUCUUCAACUGGUGGAUGUUCACAAUCUUCGUGGGCAUCCUCUUCUCCUCCACUGUCCUCGUCUACCUCCAGGACAAAGUCAGCUGGUCCGUCGGCUACGGCAUCCCCACGCUCGGCCUCAUCGCCUCCAUCGCCAUCUUCCUCGCCGGCACGCCCGUGUACCGCCACAAGCUGCCGCAGGGCAGCGCCUUCACGCGCAUGGGCAGGGUCGUCGGCGCCGCGCUCCGCAAGUGGCGCCUCCCCGUGCCGGCCGACGCCAAGGAGCUGCACGAGCUGGACCUUGAAGUGUACACGAAGAAGCACAAGUUCCGGAUGGAUUCCACCAACACCAUGAGGUUCCUCAACAAGGCGGCCGUGAAGGACGUCGUCGACGGGUCAUCGUCCAGGGCGGCGAAGUGGAGCCUGUGCACGGUGACGGAGGUGGAGGAGACGAAGCAGAUCAUGAAGCUGAUCCCUCUGCUGGUGACCAUGUUCGUGCCGUGCACGCUGAUCGCGCAGACCAACACCCUGUUCGUGAAGCAGGGCACCACCAUGAACCGGCACAUGGGCGCGGGCAGCUUCGAGAUCCCGCCGGCCAGCCUCGGCGCGUUCGUGACGCUCACCAUGCUGGUGGCCAUCGUCGUCUACGACCGGGUCUUCGUCAAGGCCGUGCGGAGGUACACCAAGAACCCGAGAGGGAUCAGCCUGCUGACGCGGAUGGGCAUCGGGCUGCUGGUGCAGGUGCUGACGAUGGGCACGGCGUCGCUGAUCGAGAGCCAGCGGCUGAGCUACGCGCGGAGCCACGGGCUGGACGUGACCGGCGGCAAGCUCCGGCUGAGCAUCUUCGUCCUCCUGCCGCAGUUCGUGCUGAUGGGCCUGGCGGACGCGUUCCUGGUGGUGGGCAAGAUCGAGUUCUUCUACGACCAGGCGCCGGAGAGCAUGAAGAGCCUGGGCACGGCGCUGUCGCUGACGGCGUACGGCGUCGGCAACAUCCUCAGCAGCUUCAUCCUGUCGAUGGUGACGCGGGUGACGCGCAAGCGGGGGAGCCCGUGGGUGGCCGACAACCUCAACGCCGCGCACCUCGACUACUACUACGCCUUCCUCACGCUGCUCGCCGCCGCCAACUGCGUCGUCUUCGCCGUGCUUGCCCACCGGUACAAGUACAGGGCCGAGUCCACGGACACCAUCGACGUCGACAUGGACGUGCAGGCGCAGCGCGAGGCCGCCAAGAAGAUUCACUCCGAGCCAAUGGCUUAG
rnacentral:rRNA from 1 species